GGACUUGAGCCUUUAGCUUGGUUAGCAGAUCGCGCCCCAAGAGGGAAGCAGGACACUCAGGUAUCACCAGGAAGGAGUGGGUCACUAUGUUCUUGUUUAUCUGUAGGGCUCGUUCGGUCGUCCAGGGGUAAAAAAGGGGGGAGAGCGGGGCAGGGAAAGUACAAGUUUACAUAACUAAGGGGUUCUGCCAAGGGACAAGGGGUUCUGCCAAGGGAUUCUACGUAACUAAGGGGUCAUGUCCUAUUAUUUGGCAAUGUACCCGGUUCAUUCUGAGGUUGUUCCAGGAGGCCCUUAUCUCAAAAAUGUUCUUGGAACAGUCUUUAGUUGGGAGGGUUCGAACUCUAGGGUGAGGAGUUCAGGAAUGCAUUCUGGGGUGAAGAGUUCAGGAGUGUUCUGGGAACACUCUCUAGAUGGGAGGGGUCGG
rnacentral:lncRNA from 1 species